UUUUUAACAAUUUCAAUAUUUGCUUUAUUUAUGAGGAUAUUUUGAAUAUGCAUGUAUAUAUUUUUGGAGACCUUAAUGAAUGAAUUUAGGAUAUCUAAUUCCUGAUAUUAAAGUGUAAGUAGGUGUUUUGGUGCAAAUUGAUUAGUGCCUAUCUAUGCAACGUUAAUGUGCAAACUUUUUUUUAUAUUCUUUGCAUAAAAAAGAUAAAUUAUUUAGCCACAUAAAAUUAUUGCGGUUUCAUUGCGUUUUAGCAAGAAUAUUAAAACUUGUAUGUCUUCUUGAAAUCUUCGUUUAAUAAAAUACAAUUAACAAAAUGUACAGUCAAUAAAUGAAUAGUUUAAUUAACAGGAUACAGUUAACAUUAAUUUUUUGUUAAAAAAUUAACAGAUCUUCAACUCGAUAAGAGCAACUAAGAAUGCAUGUAUUUUGCCAUGAAUAAAUUGAAAAUUUGCAAUUCCGUAAAAUUAUUAAAUUUUAAAUUU
rnacentral:misc_RNA from 1 species